AUUGAACGCUGGCGGAAUGCUUUACACAUGCAAGUCGAACGGCAGCACGGACUUCGGUCUGGUGGCGAGUGGUGAACGGGUGAGUAAUGUAUCGGAACGUGCCCAGUCGUGGGGGAUAACGUAGUGAAAAUUACGCUAAUACCGCAUACGAUCUAUGGAUGAAAGCGGGGGAUCGCAAGACCUCGCGCGAUUGGAGAGGCCGAUAGCAGAUUAGGUAGUUGGUGGGGUAAAGGCCCACCAAGCCAACGAUCUGUAGCUGGUCUGAGAGGACGGCCAGCCACCCUGGAACUGAGACACGGUCCAGACUCCUACGGGAGGCAGCAGUGGGGAAUUUUGGACAAUGGGCGAAAGCCUGAUCCAGCCAUUCCGCGUGCAGGAUGAAGGCCCUCGGGUUGUAAACUGCUUUUGUACAGAACGAAAAGGUUGCUACUAAUACUAGGAGCUCAUGACGGUACUGUAAGAAUAAGCACCGGCUAACUACGUGCCAGCCGCCGCCGUAA
rnacentral:rRNA from 1 species